rnacentral:lncRNA from 1 species
CAAAUCUAGUUCUAAACCAACCAUCGAUCUUAUUUUCUUUUCUUUUUUCUUUUUUUUCCUUGAUAUUAUUCUAGAUCACUUGUUGAAUUCACUGAUCCUAUGUGACAGUCAAGAUACAAUAUAGGCUAUCAUUCAUCUAAACAUCAGCUAUCAUAAAGGAUUGAUGAGCAGAAUGCAUGGUCUACCUUUAGAUUUUUUUUUUUUGCGUGAUCGGUGCAUGCAUGCCAACC